ensembl:lncRNA
GGUUUCCAGGCACGGGGAUGGGGAAAUCACAUGAGGAGACGUAUUUGAUAUGGGCGUGGCUUUCGUUUACGUCACACUUGGACGUGGGCGGGGUUGUGUCGGGAUGGGCGUGACUUCUGACGUCACACUUGGAUGUGGGCGGGGUUGGAUGUCCACCGCAGGCUGCAGCGAGCCCUACUUGACUGAGGCACGAGAGCUCAGCUCUGCCUCCCCCUCCCCUUCUCUAUCACCUAGUGGUUGUAAUUAUAUCACCAGGUUCGGCACAUUCGCGAUAGAAAUGCAGCGCUCUCCAACUUCAUUAACAUUUUAUGGUUUUACAACUGUGAAAUUACAAACAAAAAAUACACAUUCUGAUAUAUGACCUGAAAUUAAUUGUGAAUUUUGUUAACUUUAAAUAGUCCUCCUCCCAUUGUCACCUCAAAAUUUUGGGGAGGCACAGCCUCCCCUGACUAGCCGCCACUGCAUGAGGCCAAAUGCCCCAAUAGAGGCCGCUGCCGCUCAUGUCACUGUAAAUUAAAAAUAAUGCGAGCAAGAAGAAAUCCGCCACAAAAUGAAACAAUAAUAAUAUAUAAAUAUUACGAUUGUAAUCACCAGGCGCAUAUGGGUAUAUGCUUAUAAAUAUAUUAUCUACAUAUGAUAAGCUGCUCCUUUACCAUAUGCUACUGAUAACGUCAGGCUAUGACGUGUCUGAAUGGCGAACCUGUAUUUCAAAACCAUCCUCUAAUCUAUUAAACAAACAAAACCUAUACGUCUCACAUCUAAUCGUCAACUUAUCUUUACUAUUUGUGCAUAAUAAGCCAAUAUUUUAUCAGUAAAAUUGCACAACUAAUAGCCCGAAACAAACACGACCAUGCUGACGUUGACAAACGAGCUUUAUGCUCUGAACAAAAAUUAUGCUCAGACAAGUUUACUUAAAAGAAUGAAGAGUCUUUGCAAGUGUUAUUUUCGCGGUAUAGAUGAUCUGAUAUAUGACAUUAAUGCCAGGUAAAGAGAAACUCGCAGUUUGGUGUCUUCCUCACGUGACAUGCUAAAGCUAAUCUGACACACAUUAUAAAGGCAAGUGUAUCGUACUCUCAGGUUUGUGUCUUACCUAGUGCAGGUGUGCGUUUUCACAGAAGAAGACACAUAUGUCACCGUGGCAUGUCAUCGUGUAUUUGAUCCUCAGUCAGUCUCUCACUCAGAUUUGAUCACGUUCGUAUGCUCCACACACCAUAAAAGUAUCUGCUGAGGAAGAGCUAGGGAUCUAUCGCAGAAGUUUCGUUUCG